CUUUAAUCUGGGUGGGCACCAUCUAAUCGGCUGGCAGUGUGGCUAGAAUAUAAAGUAGGCAGAAAAACGUGAAAAGGCUAGACUUGCCCAGCCUCCCAGCCUACAUCUUUCUCUUAUGCCAGAUGCUUCUUGACCUUUAACAUUGGACUCCAAGUUCUUCAGUUUUCGGUCUCAGACUGGAUUUCCUUGCUCCUGAGCUUGCAGACAGCCCACUGUGGGACCUUGUGACCUUGUGAUCAUAUUUCUCAGUGAGGAAUACCUUCCCGAACAGGACAGUCCACCUACGUGCCCAGUUAGACUCUGUAGCUGGUGCGCAGCAGCUGUGUCUUUUGGUGACCUGAGCUAACAUCAACUUCGAAAGUCAAGCGUGUCUGACCCAGGUAAUGUCACCAGCAUGGCUAGGCCUUCCCACU
rnacentral:lncRNA from 10 species